rnacentral:tRNA from 1 species
CAGAGAAUAGUUUUAAUUUAGAAUUCUAGCUUUGGGAGCUAAGGGUAGGGGUUAAAUUCCCCUUUCUUUGA